rnacentral:rRNA from 1 species
GACGUAGGGCGCAAGCGUUGUCCGGAAUUAUUGGGCGUAAAGAGCUCGUAGGCGGCUUGUUGCGUCGACUGUGAAAACCCGUGGCUCAACCAUGUGGUCUGCAGUCGAUACGGGCAGGCUAGAAUUCGGUAGGGGAGACUGGAAUUCCCAGUGUAGCGGUGAAAUGCGUAGAUAUUGGGAGGAACACCAGUGGCGAAGGCGGCUCACUGGACCGGUACUGACGCUGAUGCGCGAAAGCGUGGGGAGCAAACGGG